rnacentral:rRNA from 1 species
UAAUUCUAGAGCUAAUACAUGCCGACAGAGUUCCGACCAGCGUCGCGGCGGCUUGCCGUUCGCGACGUUCGGAAGGAGCGCUUUUAUUAGAUCAAAAUCGGCCAAGCGCAACGUUCGCGUAGCGUUAGUGGCCCGCGCAAAGACUUGACGACUCUGAAUAACUUCGAGCUGAUCGCACGGUCUCGCACCGGCGACGUAUCUUUCAAAUGUCUGCCUUAUCAACUGUCGACGGUACGUUCGAUGCUUACCGUGGUGGUAACGGGUAACGGGGAAUCAGGGUUCGAUUCCGGAGAGGGAGCCUGAGAAACGGCUACCACAUCCAAGGAAGGCAGCAGGCGCGCAAAUUACCCACUCCCAGCUCGGGGAGGUAGUGACGAAAAAUAACGAUACGGGACUCAUCCGAGGCCCCGUAAUCGGAAUGAGUACACUUUAAAACCUUGGUCACACGAGGAUCAAUUGGAGGGCAAGUCUGGUGCCAGCAGCCGCGGUAAUUCCAGCUCCAAUAGCGUAUAUUAAAGUUGUUGCGGUUAAAAAGCUCGUAGUUGGGCGGCCAGGUGUUUGUUCCCGGCGUGUCAGCGGGACGUCCUGCCGGUAGGCGGACACGUUUCCGUCGUGGCGCUUCGCGUCGCACGGAAGGCGGCCGCCGUUUAAAUCUGCGCGUGCGAGUCCUUGUGUCUCGUACGGCGGGCCGGCACGUUUACUUUGAACAAAUUAGAGUGCUCAAAGCAGGCUUUAACGUGGCGGGGUACGCUCCGCGUGCCUCGUCGUACAGCCCUGAAUAUGGUCGCAUGGAAUAAUGGAACAAGACCUCGGUCCCGCCUCUACGCUGUCCUGCAGCGCGCACUGUCGGGACCCCGAUUGUUGGCCGGUUUUCGGGACUGGAGGUAAUGAUCAACAGAGACAGGCGUGGGCAUUCGUACCGCGACGUUAGAGGUGAAAUUCUUGGAUCGUCGCGAGACGAACCGAAGCGAAAGCAUUUGCCAAGUAUGUUCUCGUCUGAUCAAGAACGAAAGUUAGAGGUUCGAAGGCGAUCAGAUACCGCCCUAGUUCUAACCGUAAACGAUGCCAGCUAGCGAUCCGCCGGCGUUCCACUGAUGACCCGGCGGGCAGCUUCCGGGAAACCGAAGCUUUUCGGUUCCGGGGGAAGUAUGGUUGCAAAGCUGAAACUUAAAGGAAUUGACGGAAGGGCACCACCAGGAGUGGAGCCUGCGGCUUAAUUUGACUCAACACGGGAAACCUCACCAGGCCCGGACACCGGAAAGAUUGACAGAUUGAGAGCUCUUUCUUGAUUCGGUGGGUGGUGGUGCAUGGCCGUUCUUAGUUGGUGGAGCGAUCUGUCUGGUUAAUUCCGAUAACGAACGAGACUCUGUCCUGCUAACUAGGCG